rnacentral:lncRNA from 1 species
UCAUGAUCUAUAAAUUUUCAAAGUUCAUCUCUUAUAUUACGGCCAUGGAACCCAGAAAGAGAAAAUUGUGGUAUGUGGACUUCCAUUUGCAGAUCUGCAAGUUGGUACUGAUUCAAUAGGAGAUGCUGACCACGUUUCUCCGGCUCAUUGAUCUUUAGAGCGAUUAAAAAGAAACAUAAAAGGAACCAUUAAUUUUGGCCUAUUUGUUCUAAAUACGUUAAAAAAACAACCUUUAUAAUUACGAGAUGGAAAGUCCUACUCUUAACUCUUUCUUGCCUCCUGUAUUGUUCUGCCUAAAAAUUUCUUGGAACAGGGACUCCCAUGAAAAUGAAGUGGCUAUGAAUAUGAGUAUCAGCAAAGAAGGUAGCUCAAAAAAUUUUAUUUUAUUUUAUUUGUGAAGAGCUCUUCAUCAAUUCGAGAGAAAUAGGUUGCAACUAGUUUUAACAUCCAAGCAUCUAGGCGUUUUUCUUUUUACUGCUAAAUGGUCAUGGCAGAAC